CCUACGGGAGGCUGCAGUGGGGAAUAUUGCACAAUGGGGGAAACCCUGAUGCAGCGACGCCGCGUGAGCGAUGAAGUAUUUCGGUAUGUAAAGCUCUAUCAGCAGGGAAGAAAAUGACGGUACCUGACUAAGAAGCCCCGGCUAACUACGUGCCAGCAGCCGCGGGAAUCCGGAGGGGGCACGCGUUAUCCGGGUUUACUGGGUGUAAAGGGAGCGUAGACGGCUGUGCAAGCCAGAUGUGAAAGCCCGGGGCUCAACCCCGGGACUGCAGUUGGAACUGGGUGGCUGGAGUGGCGGAGAGGCAGGCGGAAUUCCUAGUGUAGCGGUGAAAUGCGUAGAUAUUAGGAGGAACACCAGUGGUGAAGGCGGCCUGCUGGACGAUGACUGACGUUGAGGCUCGAAAGCGUGGGGAGCAAACAGGAUUAGAUACCCGGGUAGUC
rnacentral:rRNA from 1 species